AAAGUCGUAACAAGGUUUCCGUAGGUGAACCUGCGGAAGGAUCAUUACAAAAAAUCCAAUGGCUAGCAUACUCUCAAGCAUGCGAAUCAUCAAACCAUUUCUGAGUACAUCACUUCCGCGUUGCUUUCGCAGAUGAACCGGCGCGGCAGCGGACGACUCUUUUGGAGGUCCGCAACGCGUCGUAAUCUGCGAAAGGGUCUGAGUUUUUUAAAUUCUUCAUUUAACCGUCGUUCAUUCUCGUCUGAAACAAACUACAAAACAAAAACAAAACUUUCAACAACGGAUCUCUUGGUUCUC
rnacentral:misc_RNA from 1 species